rnacentral:rRNA from 1 species
UACGUAGGCAGCAAGCGUUGUUCGGAGUUACUGGGCGUAAAGGGUGCGUAGGCGGCUUCUUAAGUCUGGUGUGAAAUCUCCCGGCUCAACUGGGAGGGUGCGCCGGAUACUGAGGGGCUAGAGUGUGGGAGAGGAAAGUGGAAUUCCUGGUGUAGCGGUGAAAUGCGUAGAUAUCGGGAGGAACACCUGUGGCGAAAGCGGCUCACUGGACCACAACUGACGCUGAGGCGCGAAAGCUAGGGGAGCAAACAGG